AAUGUAUCAACUCAGAUAUCCCCACCCCAUAUCUUAGGUUUCCAUUACUUCCCAAUCAGGGUCCUGACCUUGGAGUAGUAAAUGGGCCAACGAAGUGAGAACAAAACCUCUCCUUGAGUUCUGAUACUCUCAAAUUAAGUCCUGGAUCUAAUCCCAAAUUUUUCUUGUCCUCUGGUUGUAAAAGAUGACAGUCAUUUUUAUACACUGCUGAGGAGGCCCCCGCUUGGACACAAACACUUUAAUUGGUGAUUAAUCACUCAGCUGUUUACUGUCUGCCCCUAAAUCAUUGAUUGAUCCCAGCAAUGUGCAUCCAAAUAGCUGACAUAUUGCAUCAGCCUGUGUGUUCCCUUCCACGAGUCCACAGGCCCAGAUCUCCACUGGUGAAAGUUUUAACAAUUGGACUGCUACCUAUGCGAGGAGCCUUCCAUGCUUCCCCUACCAGUGAGGGGGUCCUUACGGCAGGCAGGCCAACUCUUCAUCCUUAUACAAAAUCCCACUUCAGAGUCUCCUUCCUCAGACCACACCGGGGUCUUGGGCAGCAGAAUCUGAGACAGAGAAUCAGGUGCAGGAAGUUCAUUGGAGAGUGUGUGAGUUCAACCUCUAGAGGGAAUGAAUGAAGCAAGAUUGGGCUCCUGGAGAAGGUGACUACAACACUCUUGCAACAAAAGCCUCAGCCACUUCUAAGGCCUUUAACGUCUUAAUUGACCAAUCGUUGGACACAGGUAAGGGGCGGUGAGCCUCUGGUGAGAGGACCGUCUUCAAUGAAAGGCAAUUACUGGAGACAGGUGCAACUGAGAACUGUUGGUCAUCAACACACCCAGUAAGUGAAGAGUGAGCGCUUCUAUCCUGGAGCAGGAUCUGGGCCAGCACCCAGCACUUUCAAACAUUCAGUGAGAGUGAAGAGGGACCCCAUUCCUGACCUGUGGAGUGACGAGGAAGGCACUGGAUGUUCUCUCCAGGAGAGAGGUUCAGUGACCUUAGGGAAUGGCUGACGACCAGAGGAUACCUGGAAAGGUCGGUGCCGGGGCUGUGGUUUCGUCUAUGUGCCAUGAAGAAGGAACUAUGCUUUGUCAAACUCAUCUUGCCUCCUUGAUGGCCUGAUCAAGCAAGAGGAGAGAGCCGUUACUAAAACCCGGGAGAGAGAAAGGGAGAAGAGCUAUGUGGAGAGGGAUGCCAGAUGGCAGUGGUGAUGCUCAGUGGAGGAGUGCAACUAGCCCAUGGCAAACCUUCCAGGGAUCUUUGCCAAUGUCUCCCCUACAAAACAGACUUCAUCUUCACUGAAGAUCCCUGUAGCUGACAGAGAUAAGCCACCGAUGUGGCUGCCAAGCGGCAUGUUUUCCCAAAAUGGUUAUUGCAAAGAGCAAAGGAGAUAAUGGACAUGAAAAUACUUUGUAAAUUGCGAAGGUUAUUCUAGAGGUUCCCACUGGAGUUCUGGAUUCCCAGGAUACACAGCAACCAGCUGUAUGGGACUUUGGAAGAUAAUGGUCACCCUCUCCCCUUUGGCCUCCUCUUUCCUUUUCCACUCUAAACUACAGCUGUCUCAGGCAAUGACUACAGAUUCUGCUUUGGGAUUUAGAUUCGGAGGAAAAGGGAGGAGGGAGAAAUAAAAAGAUUAUGAAAUUCGGCCAAAAGAAUAAGAAAGGGUAAAAUCAGGGGAAAUUCACCUGUCUGAUGCAAAGUUAAACUGCUGGCUUUAAUGUGACUGCAUGGGAACUUGGGUUUAUUAAUGAAUACAACAUACCCUCUUUGAUUUGAAAGCUUUCACCCUGCUGAAAAGAUUCAAAAGGCAUCGCUUCCUGCACCAGCGGCAUUCCUUUAUCCGUCUCAGUGGUUCACCCCUACCCAGCUGCUAUAUCUCAUUAACAAGCAUUUGACCACUGCAGCCGGCCUGGGAGUGUUGACACUUGAAAGGCCCAGGCAGGCGUGGGCAGGCCAUCAGCUAUGGCAACAGGAAACUGCCCCGGAGACAACACUGAGAAAACAGCAGCUGCAAGAGCCAAAGUCAGAACAGACAUAAAGGGUUGCCUAUAUCCACGUCGGUCUGGGGUAUCGGUGCGUGCCUGUGGGCCUGAAUUCACACGUCUAUUUACUAUAUUUAUGGGAUAUAAAGGUUGCUAUCAACAUGUCUCUAACACUGGACUUGCUGACAACACAGAAUGAUUUUUUGACUUUCAGUGUUCUCGAAUCCUCAGGUUUCCAGAAUCUUCCUCAUCUCCUUUUAAUGUAACUUCUUGUUUAUGCACAUAAGGACGUUCACUAGAGGCCUUAAACUUGAUAGACACGUUCACUCUGGUGAAAGUCACAGUGACAAUAAAAAAUAUAUAUGCCUGAAUCCUUACCCAUUUUUCAUGCUACCACAUUAUUUUUAAAAACAAGUCAACUUGUAAAACUGUCACAUAAAUACGUAAGAUUACUCUGAAAGUCUUUGGCUUAGGAAUCAAACUGUGAUGGUUUUAUGUAGAAUAUUUAAGAAUGAAACAGUCAUUUCAAUUGUGUAAAGGUAGCUCAUAAAAUUGUGGGAUGUUCCACUUAUUAUUGAUCAUAAUAAUUUCAAAUACCUAUGUUAAUAAAAUUCAUUUACUAUUCUUUGAAUUGUAGGCUACACAGCAUCACACCCUUGAAUCUACUUCUAAAUGUUGUUUCUAUAUUCAUCUGAGGAGCUCAAAGUACACAUACCAAUUGGAAUGUUUCAUGCAAUGUUUGGGGCAAGUAUUUCUCCAAAUCUGGUGUGUCUCUGUCCAAGCCUAUAAGAGCGUUUUUAGAGGAUAGGUAAGCAAUAGUUCAAAAUCAAAGUUUUUCAUCCAGAAGGAAAAUGACCCUUUUCAAAACAGGAAAAAGAGGUCACUCCAUAUUAGGGGAGAAAAGAAAGCUAAAUGAAAAAAGACACUAAUACAAUGUGUUAUAAGUGAAAGUAGUUGACUGCCACUCAAAGACUAGUGAAUUAUUUUCCUGUCAUCAUCA
rnacentral:lncRNA from 1 species